ensembl:lncRNA
CAUCUGUUUACAAAUGUCCUACCAGCUGUGCACAAAAGGUAUUUUGUUGAAGGUGGAAAAUGCCUCAAAAUCCACACCUACUGAGCAUUCAAUGCCCAAAGUGAUUGUGCAGCAGACCAGAGGUGCAUCUCCCAUGGAAGACAGUGAUGUGACAGAACAGGAUAUCGAAAAAAAGCCAAAAUAUUGAGGAUGGAGUCACCUUGCUGUAUUUUUCCUCCAUCCGUCUGUUCUACCUCUCCAGCUUGCUGAGAACUGCCCUUUAGCAAGUGUUUGCAUUGCCACAUAGUGUACACACAGUGCUCCCACGAAGGAUGAAAGGUUUCAAGUGCACAGGUGAAGGUGCAUACAGGAGAAAAUGCAUUACCAACCUGUCUGUUUGCUGCCUGACAGCUGCUUCUUUUGAGGCCAUGGGGGACGGAGGCUCACAGUGAUACUCAGGCCUCCUGCAUGAGGUACUGCUUGGUCUCCAAAUACAACAGGAGUGUCCUGGGACGUGCAUUAGGAGCAUUUUAAUGCUAUCAGAAGUUGCAUACCUUCUUAAUUAAUCACAGUAAAACAGAGUAAAACUUCUUGCCCGACACCUGCUCUCUUCUCUCAGGAUUCCUGUUUCCAUGAGUCAUCUGCAUUUAGCUCAGCC